UAAAGUGUAGUUUAAUUGGUAAAAUAGUGAUCUCCAAAAUCAUCGUUGUUGGUUCAAAUCCUACCUCUGUCG
rnacentral:tRNA from 1 species